rnacentral:rRNA from 1 species
GACGAACCGUGCGAACGUUGUUCGGAAUCACUGGGCUUAAAGGGCGCGUAGGCGGCCUGAUAAGUAGGGGGUGAAAUCCUGCGGCUUAACCGCAGGGCUGCCUUCUAAACUGUCAGGCUCGAGCACAGUAGAGGCAGGUGGAAUUCCCGGUGUAGCGGUGAAAUGCGCAGAUAUCAGGAGGAACACCGAUGGCGAAGGCAGCUCGCUGGGACGGUACUGACGCUGAGGCGCGAAAGCGUGGGGAGCAAACAGG